GGUUGGGCGAGAAAGAUGCUGCUACAUUUCAGGAUUUUUAUAUCACUGAAAAACUAAAGUGACAGGCCAUCAUGCAGGACACUGCCAAGAUGAAAAGGAGAAAAAGAGAAGACUGCUUAAUGACUCUUCCUCUACUUGUACAAGAAAUUAAAGAAGAACAAUGCACCAAAAUUGAAUCCUUUUCCAUUUAAGAGAACUAUAACAUUAAGAUGAACAAGGUCCAAAGGCGGAUUCACAGCACUUACAAGAAGCUGUUCUGACAAAGGACUAGACGCUACAACUGAUAGAGGUACAGGGAGAUCACAAUAGAUAUAAUGGUGUUCUCUCUCUCCAGUUUAUAUAAUAAAUCUUUCUUCCCCCAUCCCCUAUUAAAAAGUUGGAAUGGAACCAGGACACAACAGUUUAUCAAAAGCAUCUUAAAGAAAUACAAAAAAAAUCAGAUUAUGCAUUUGGCAUAGAAUCACAACCAUGGCUAUAAUCUCAACUAUUCAGAAAGCUAUAGUGGCGGUUUUCAAAUCAACAUGCUUUAUGAUAUCACAAGCAGAUGCACCCUUGUGUAUGUACUCUACUCAUUCUAUGAUUGUCUAAUGCAGCCUAUAAUCAUAAUUUAGGGCCAUGAUUCCUAAUUUUGCAAGUAAAUGGCAAUAAGUUGCAUUGUACAGAAAUAAAUGAAAUUAUAGUAAGUCAAAAUUGUAGAAAUCGAUGAAUUAAAACCAAAGUGCUGAUAUGAUUCUUUUGCCUCUAUCAACACAUAUCAGAGAACUGUGGCAGCACUGUGUCUCUCUGCAAAGCUCUCUGAUUAUGUCCUGUCUUGCAAAUUUCCCAACUGUUGCACUUGUGUGUAAUAGCUCACUUGGGUGCAGCACGCAAAUGAAUCGGGCAAAGAGGAUCAUAUGCUAAUAAUGAAACCUGCCUGAUUUAUGUCUAUUUAAAUUUGUGAUGGAAAAGCCUGGAAGGGGCAAUCUUUGUUUAUGGCGGUGCGAUGCUCCAUGUCUGAUUUUGUUCGAUGUAUUAGGUGCAAUAACAGAAAAAUUGGCUCAUAUACUUAACCUAUUGGAGCAACUUGUUGAUAUUGUGAAUAAACAUCCUCUGGAGAUGGUGCAGUUUAAUGCAUUCCUGUGACAUUCCUUCAUCCAUUAUCUUAACACAGACAGUAACCCAAUUA